GAUGUCUUGGACGAGGUAGAGGUACUAUCGCUGUCAGCACCCACCUCCAGCCUCCCACGCACUGACAGUGUACCUCCCGCGGUACGUACCGUCACAUCACCACCCACAAAUUCCCGCACGUCCAUCACAAGCUAUCAUGAUAUCCCCGCCCUUCCAGAGUGCAGGUACUGCUCUUCCCACCUCCAGGAUUCAAGUCCGGCUAACCGGUUUCCCCGACUCCCUUCAGUGGAACAGACUCCCAGAUGAACGAAUCUAGAACGGCGUUCAUGCGUUCGCUAGUCCGUCACUUGAACUAUAUAUCAUCAGAGUAAACGUGAAGACGGUUAUGCAUCUAAGGAUGGACUCGAGAAUGUGCUUUAGGAAAUACUCUGCAUCCAUGAACUGACGUGGUAGAUUUGUCAAGCUGCCAUGGAGGAUCAUGGCGCAUUUCCAAGAAUAUUUUUAUUAAUAAAAUGUAUUAUGUAAUAAGAUGUGGGUUAUGAGGAAUAUCCGGUGGCUUCAAGACAACAGGACUUCAGUUGUUCAAAAUAUCUAAGGAAAGUACCUUAAUUCUACUAGUCUCUUGAUCUCUGCUCGUAUAUGAUAAACUGAUAGAAUACAAGUUCGGUAAUGGUGGUGGUUGAGUAACGUGCCAGACACCGGACUGGCACGGUGCCUGUCUCUUGUCUAACCUCGUCCAAAGCUGCAACACACACACACACACACACACACACACACACACACACAUUCAACAUUAUGGAGCUGGCUGCAGUAGAACCGUUGUACACUGAUUUACGUGUGUAUCAGUGAUUGGUAAAGUUACUCAUUUUUGGGUAAAAAAUAUUUAAUGGCUUCAUUUAGAGUUUAGCGAUAACUUAUAUAAAUUCUCCAAUAUUAAAUAUGUUGUAAAAUGAAGACAAUUAUAUUUUUGGUCUAUGGGUAAUUUUUUUUAUCAAAAAAUCUAACAACCUUGAUUAAGAGUUAAAUUCUAGAUUAGAUUAUGUUGUGUUACCUCCCUACUCCCCCCCCCCAAAAAAAAAAAAAUCUAAAAGGCCCAGUAUAUAAAUGUGUAUUGCAUAACCCACUUAAUAUUUGAGAAUUUACAUACUAAUUGAAUAGAGACCCUAAACAUAUUUAUAAGCCUUACGAUUUGUAUUUUUAGGUUUCGUCUUGUUGUGUAUAACAUAACACUGUAGGCUACUGUGAAAUAAUUGGCGAUAUUUCAGGUAUAGCUAUUUUUCUGCCUAACAACGAUAAUUGUACAAUCUUGGCUAAGGCUGAUACUGACAUGGCUCGUCACGACUUUGGAAUCAUUCUUGGUCACAUCGCAUUCUUUAGAUACAAUCAAGGUCCGUAUUCGAAAGCAGCCUGACACAUGCAAUGUAUGUGUUAGUGAGGCAUGCAGGUGAGUAGUUUGGGUUGUGGUUAGUAAGGUAAGCAGAACAGGAGCAGUGUGGGUCAUAACGAG